rnacentral:tRNA from 1 species
GAAUAGGAAACAAAAUUUGUGCUUAGUUUCGACCUAAGAUUUUGGUGUUGGCCCACCCCUAUUUU